rnacentral:rRNA from 1 species
UGGGGAAUUUUGGACAAUGGGGGCAACCCUGAUCCAGCCAUGCCGCGUGUGUGAAGAAGGCCUUCGGGUUGUAAAGCACUUUCGGACGGAACGAAAUCGCACGGGUGAAUAUCCCGUGUGGAUGACGGUACUGUAAGAAGAAGCACCGGCUAACUACGUGCCAGCAGCCGCGGUAAUACGUAGGGUGCGAGCGUUAAUCGGAAUUACUGGGCGUAAAGCGUGCGCAGGCGGCUUCGCAAGUCAGGCGUGAAAUCCCCGGGCUUAACCUGGGAAUGGCGUCUGAAACUACGGAGCUGGAGUGUGGCAGAGGGAGGUAGAAUUCCACGUGUAGCGGUGAAAUGCGUAGAUAUGUGGAGGAAUACCGAUGGCGAAGGCAGCCUCCUGGGCCAACACCGACGCUCAUGCACGAAAGCGUGGGGAGCAAACAG